rnacentral:rRNA from 1 species
AGCGAACGCUGGCGGCAGGCCUAACACAUGCAAGUCGAACGAGCCUUCGGGCUAGUGGCGGACGGGUGAGUAACACGUGGGAACGUACCUUUAGGUUCGGAAUAACUCAGGGAAACUUGAGCUAAUACCGGAUGUGCCCUUCGGGGGAAAGAUUUAUCGCCUUUAGAGCGGCCCGCGUUAGAUUAGCUAGUUGGUGGGGUAAUGGCCACCAAGGCUGCGAUCUAUAGCUGGUCUGAGAGGGUGAUCAGCCACACUGGGACUGAGACACGGCCCAGACUCCUACGGGAGGCAGCAGUGGGGAAUCUUGCGCAAUGGGCGAAAGCCUGACGCAGCCAUGCCGCGUGAAUGAUGAAGGUCUUAGGAUUGUAAAAUUCUUUUAGCAGGGACGAUAAUGACGGUACCUGCAGAAAAAGCCCCGGCUAACUUCGUGCCAGCCGCCGCCAGUAA